AAGAAAUCAUGAGAACCAAGACAAAAUUUAGCAAGUAAAUAUGCAUUGCUUGUAGUCACAGACUAUCCUAACAGCUUUGCCAAAGCCCUGCAAUACAAUUUGUUUAAAACCAAAUUUGGCUCAAUGGUCCAUCUCCUCACCAAUAAUGUACCUUUAUGAAUUCUUGACUUAGCCUGUAUAUCUGAUGAAUUAUCCGUAGAAGGAAUUCUGGAAUCUUCUUAUGUUGAUUUUAUCUAUCGUUUACUUUAUUGUGGCUCUAUUUAAAUGGAAUUAUUUUCUAAUCAUUCUGUUUUGCAGUGUGUUAAGGUGAUUUUUGAAAUAGGCCAUGAAGCAGCUCUGCGAACAAGCGCACCAAGAGGGCUUUACCCAUGACUGGGAAGUUUUUGUCCGGGGUGCUGACAAUACCGACAUCCACUACUUUAUUGAUAAGGUCGUCUUUCAUUUACAUGAAACCUUCCAUAAACCAAAACGAGUUAUUAAAGAUCCGCCGUACAAGGUCAAAGAGUCAGGCUAUGCUGGGUUUUCUUUACCGAUUGAUAUCUAUGUAAAGUCAAAAGAUGAACCACGAAAAAUCAAAUUCAAUUACGAUCUCACUUUGCAACAUAGUGGUCCCCAAUCUCAAAUAUAAUUCGAGAAAAGAUAUCUUCAACAAUCCUUCAGAGGACUUUCGACGGAAUCUAAUCAAAGGUGGUGGUAUUGGAGUUGGCAGUGAAAGUUUAACCAACAAUAGUCACAGUAAUGCUAGUUUAAAUUGCAUUACUUCCGCAGCAAAUAAUGAAAAUAAAGUACAGUCUAGUUUAUCAUCUAAGUCAAAAACCUACCAGUGACAGUCAGUCUUUGAAAAAACAUAAAGUCAAGGAACCAUCAAAAGCAGAUGACAUUAAACCAAGUAAUUCAUUUGCUGCUCUGUUUGGAACACCUAUUAAAACGGUCAAAAAAGAAAACCAACAAGUGUCAAAGCCCUCAAAUAAAGCUAGUUCUGCUACUGAGAAACACUCAUCAGAGAAACAGGUUCACUCAUCUGAAAAAUCAUCGAAACACAAGAAUGGAGCACAUAAAGAGAAGGCGCUAGUCAGCUCUAAAAAAGAUCAUGAAAAAGAUAAAGAGAAAGAUAAAGAUAAAGAAAAGGAAAAAGAAAAGGACAGAGAAAAAGAUAAGGAAAAGAAAAAAGAAAGGGAAAGAGAAAAAGAAAGAGACAAAGAAAAAGAUAAGGAUAGAGAUAAAGAAAAAUUAAAGGAAGAAAAACUUCAAACUCAGCCAAGUAGUAAAGAGAAAGUAAACCUAGAUAAAGUUCAAAACCAGCAGAGUCUCAAAGAGGAGAAAAAGAAAGAAAAGCAAGAGAAGCAAGAAAAAUAUGAAGACAAACUGAAAGAGCAUAAGGAGAAAGAAACCAAAGAAAAAUCGGAUAAAUCAGGUAAAAGUCACUCCGAACUGAAAUUAGAAAAGAAAAAAGAAAGGAAAAAAGAGAAGGAAAAGGAAAAAGAAAGGGAAAGAGAACGAGAAAGAGAAAAAGAAAGGGAACGAGAGAAAGAACGGAAAGAGAGAAAGAAAAAGAGCUUGAGCUGA
rnacentral:lncRNA from 1 species